ensembl:lncRNA
UAAGUUUUAUUUUAUCUUUAAGAUGGAAUAAUUUUCAGUCAAUGGAAAGAAUGAAACUGUUCUAUAUACAGUAUAUUUAUAUGGAGGCAUCUCCUACAAAUAGUAUGUGAAAAAAUAUACAAACCCAAGUGAGAGUAGAUUGGUGUAUUAUGUAUAUACACUGCUGUUUAUUAGAUAUAGUCAAAAUAUAUACACAUACCUAAAUAUACUUAAAAAUAACUGGCAGCCCAGAGAUAAGAUUGUGGUAGGUGGCAUUGAAAGAGAUACAUGUACCCUAGUGUUCACUGCAGCACUAUUUUACAGUAGCUAGUACAUGGAAGCAAACUAGGUAUCCAUCAGCAGAUGAAUGGGUAAGGAAGUUAUGGUACAUAUACAUAAUGGAAUAUUACUCAGCUCUCAAAAGGGAUGCAUUUGAGUCAAUUCUAAUUCGAUGGGUGAAACUGUAGCCUCUUAUACAGACUGAAGUAAGUUAGAAAAAGAAACACAAAUACUGUAUAUUAAUGGAUAUAUAUGGGAUUCUGAAACAUGGUAGUGACAAUCCCACAUGCAGGGCAGCGAAAGAGACACAGAUGUAAAGAACAGACUUUUGGACUCUGGGAGAAGGCGAGGGUGAGAUGAUCUGAGAGAGUAACAGUGAAACAUGUAUAUUACCAUAUGUGAAAUAGAUGACCACAGCAAAUUUGAUGCAUGAAUCAGGGUACCCAAAGCCAGUACUCUGGGACAACUUGGAGGGAUAGGGUGGGGAGGGAAGUGGAAGAGGGGUUCAGGAAAGGGGGGACACAUGUAUAUCCAUGGCUGAUUCAUGUUGAUGUGUGGCAAAAACCAUCACAAUAUUGUAAUUAUCCUCCAAUUAAAAUAAAUAAAAUAAUUUUUUUUAGAGAUGGCUGUAGGUGCAUGCAGGGAAAUCAUCCGCUCAGUACUAAAGGGUGCACGUUUCUUGCAGUUCUCUGCAUUCCUACAUUUCUCCCUCCAAAUUGGCUUUAUCCUAAAACUCGUUCCUUGUGGUCACGAGAUGGCUGCAACCAUUUAAGUGUUUACAUGAAGACACAACUUCCAGCAAGAAUGUCUCUUUUGGGGUUCACUUUCCUGUGCUGUGUUGUGCUUAGUCGCUCAGUUGUGUCCAACUCUUUGCAACCCCAUGAACUGUAGCCCACCAGGCUCCUUUGUCCAUGGGAUUCUCCAGGCAAGAACAGUGGAGUGGGUUGCUAUGCCCUCCUCCAGGGGAUCUUCCCAACCCAGGGAUGAAACCCAGGUCUCCUGCAUUGCAGGCGGAGCCUUUACCAUCUGAGCCACCACUUUCCUGCUGCUGCUGAGUUGCUUUAGUCGUCUCCGUCUCUGUGCGACACCAUAGACAGCCCACCAGGCUCCCCCGUCCCUGGGAUUCUCCAGGCAAGAACACUGGAGUGGGUUGCCAUUUCCUUCUCCAACCCAUAAAAGUGAAAAGUGAAAGUGAAGUCGCUCAGUAGUGUCCAACCCUUAGCAACUCCAUGGACUGCAGCUUACCAGGCUCCUCUGUCCAUGGGAUUUUCCAGGCAAGAGUACUGGAGUGGGGUGCCAUUGCCUUCUCUGUCUCCACUUUCCUAGGAGGGAGGAAAUCUUCCUAGAAGCCCUCUAGUGGACAAGCCUUAAUGUUACAUUGACCAAGUUUGGAAAACCUUCCCAGUCUGAAACCUAACACUGGAAAAUGAAUAGCUUAGACCAGUGGUUCUCAGGCUUCCCAGGUGGCUCAGCAGUGAAGAAUCCACCUGCCAGUGCAGGAGACCCAGGAGACAAGGGUUUGAUCUCUGGGUUGGGAAGAUCCCCAGGAGUUAGAAAUGGCAACCCAUUCCAGUAUGCUUGCUUGAAGCGUUCUGUGGACAGAGGAGCCUGGCGAGCUACAGUCCAUGGGGUCACACAGAGUUGGACAUGACUGAGCGCUCACGCACCACCCUGUUUCUCAACUCAGGGUAAUUUUGCCUUCCAGCGGGCAUUCAGCAAUAUCUGGAGAUAUUCUAGUCACACCUGGAGAAAGGGUGCUACUCACAUCUUUAGGGUAGAAGCAAGCGACACUGCUAAACGUCCUAGAACAUACUCGAACAGUCCACCAUGACCAAAAAUUACGUGACCCCAGUGCUUGUGCACUGUUGGUGGGAACAUAGAUUGAUGCAGUCACUGUGGAAAACAGUAUGAAGUCACCUCAAAAAAUUAAAAAUAGGUCCAGCAAUUCCAGUUUUGAAUAUAUGUCCAAAGGAAAAGAAAUCACCAUGUCUUUUGGAAGAUAUCUGCACCCCCUUAUCUAUGUAUAUAUCUUCCGACAGAGAUAGACCCAUAUAUAUGGUAGUAAAUGGCAGGAUUUCCUUCUUUUUCUUCUUUUUGUGACUAAAUAGUAUUCCACUAUAUAUAGAAGAGGACAGAAGAGCCUGGUGCACUUCAGUCCAUGGGGUCACAAAGAGUUGGACAC